GACGAACGCUGGCGGCGUGCUUAACACAUGCAAGUCGAACGGAAAGGCCCUGCUUUUGUGGGUUUCUCGAUUGUCGAACGGGUGAGUAACACGUGAGUAACCUGCCCUUUACUUUGGGAUAACUUCAGGAAACUGGGGCUCAUACCGGAUAGGAGCUCCUGCUGCAUGGUGGGGGUUGGAAAGUUUCGGCUGUUGGGGAUGGACUCGCUGCUUAUCAGCUUGUUUGUGGGGUAGUGGCUGACCAAGGCUUUGACGGGUAGCCGGCCUGAGAGGGUGAACGGCGACAUUGGGACUGAGAUACGGACCAGACGCGUACGGGAGGCAGCAGGGGGGAAUAUGGCAGAACGGGCGGAAGUCAGAGGCAGCAAUGCAGCGUGCGGGAUGACGGCCUUCGGGUGGUAAACAGCUUUGGAAUGUGAUGAAGAGGGAGUGACGGUAAUGAGUAAAGAAGCAACGGCUAACUACGUG
rnacentral:rRNA from 1 species